rfam:Enterocytozoon bieneusi H348 ctg01_168, whole genome shotgun sequence.
GCCCCGGUGGCUUAGUGGUAUAGUAUUCGGUUUGGGACCGAAAGGUCCCGGGUUCGAUCCCCGGUCGGGGCC